UGGGGAAUAUUGGACAAUGGGGGCAACCCUGAUCCAGCCAUGCCGCGUGUGUGAAGAAGGCCUUUUGGUUGUAAAGCACUUUAAGCAGGGAGGAGAGGCUAAUGGUUAACACCCAUUAGAUUAGACGUUACCUGCAGAAUAAGCACCGGCUAACUCUGUGCCAGCAGCCGCGGUAAUACAGAGGGUGCGAGCGUUAAUCGGAAUUACUGGGCGUAAAGCGAGUGUAGGUGGCUCAUUAAGUCACAUGUGAAAUCCCCGGGCUUAACCUGGUAACUGCAUGUGAUACUGGUGGUGCUAGAAUAUGUGAGAGGGAAGUAGAAUUCCAGGUGUAGCGGUGAAAUGCGUAGAGAUCUGGAGGAAUACCGAUGGCGAAGGCAGCUUCCUGGCAUAAUAUUGACACUGAGAUUCGAAAGCGUGGGUAGCAAACAGG
rnacentral:rRNA from 1 species